GCAGUCGUGGCCGAGUGGUUAAGGCGAUGGACCUGAAAUCCAUUGGGGUCUCCCCGCACAGGUUCGAAUCCUGUCGACUGCG
rnacentral:tRNA from 1 species